rnacentral:rRNA from 1 species
CCCGGGCGGGGGCCUAUACAUGCAAGUCGAGCGAAUGGGAUUAAGAGCUUGCUCUUAUGAAGUUAGCGGCGGACGGGUGAGUAACACGUGGGUAACCUGCCCAUAAGACUGGGAUAACUCCGGGAAACCGGGGCUAAUACCGGAUAACAUUUUGAACCGCAUGGUUCGAAAUUGAAAGGCGGCUUCGGCUGUCACUUAUGGAUGGACCCGCGUCGCAUUAGCUAGUUGGUGAGGUAACGGCUCACCAAGGCAACGAUGCGUAGCCGACCUGAGAGGGUGAUCGGCCACACUGGGACUGAGACACGGCCCAGACUCCUACGGGAGGCAGCAGUAGGGAAUCUUCCGCAAUGGACGAAAGUCUGACGGAGCAACGCCGCGUGAGUGAUGAAGGCUUUCGGGUCGUAAAACUCUGUUGUUAGGGAAGAACAAGUGCUAGUUGAAUAAGCUGGCACCUUGACGGUACCUAACCAGAAAGCCACGGCUAACUACGUGCCAGCAGCCGCGGUAAUACGUAGGUGGCAAGCGUUAUCCGGAAUUAUUGGGCGUAAAGCGCGCGCAGGUGGUUUCUUAAGUCUGAUGUGAAAGCCCACGGCUCAACCGUGGAGGGUCAUUGGAAACUGGGAGACUUGAGUGCAGAAGAGGAAAGUGGAAUUCCAUGUGUAGCGGUGAAAUGGCCGUAGAAAAA